CCUACGGGAGGCAGCAGUGAGGAAUAUUGGUCAAUGGACGGACGUCUGAACCAGCCAUGUCGCGUGAAGGAAGACGGCUCUAUGGGUUGUAAACUGCUUUUGUAAAAGAGUAAACCUGACUACGUGUAUCCAGCUGUAAGUACUGUACGAAUAAGGAUCGGCUAACUCCGUGCCAGCAGGCGCCGUAAGAAGGAGGAUCCAAGCGUUAUCCGGAUUUAUUGGGUUUAAAGGGGGGGUCGGUGGAUUGUUAAGUUAGAGGGGAAAGUUCGGGGGUUAACUCGGGAACUGCCGUUAAUACUGGCGUUCUUGAGUGUAGGUGCAGUAUGCGGAAUGUGUGGUGUAGCGGUGAAAUGCAUAGAUAUCACGCAGAACUCCGAUUGCGAAGGCAGCAUACCAGCCUACAACUGACGUUGAAGCACGAAAGCGUGGGUAUCAAACAGGAUUAGAUACCCUAGUAGUC
rnacentral:rRNA from 1 species